CUCUUUAGAGCGUGCAUAUCGUGAGUCCAUUGAAAAUAGAAGACAAGUCAAGUCGGAUAUAUAUAUACAUAAAAAAAGGAGGAGGAAUAUCGAAAAAUUACCCCAAGUAUCGCUGGGUAGAAAGAAGAAAACAUCUUGGACACCAUUCGAUUCUUUUUGUUCUCUCUAUCAGUCGGGAGAAGUGUAGCUUUAAUGAGUCAUCUAGCCAAUAGUGGAUUGGCCAGAGCUGAUUCACUUGUGAGAAUUCGGAUGUCGAAGA
rnacentral:lncRNA from 1 species